AUCCUUUUGUAAUUCAACAAUGUGAUGACUGGGCUUUCACACUCGUGUGAGAUGCGCCUCGCUCAAACCUCGUUAACAUCUGCACGGUACCUGUCUGAAG
rfam:Gorilla gorilla gorilla genomic chromosome, chrX, whole genome shotgun sequence